ACGAACGCUGGCGGCGUGCUUAACCCCUGCCAGUCGAACGGAAAGGCCCUGCUUUUGUGGGGCGCUCGAGUGGCGAACGGGUGAGUAACACGUGAGUAACCUGCCCUUGACUUUGGGAUAACUUCAGGAAACUGGGGCUAAUACCGGAUAGGAGCUCCUGCUGCAUGGUGGGGGUUGGAAAGUUUCGGCGGUUGGGGAUGGACUCGCGGCUUAUCAGCUUGUUGGUGGGGUAGUGGCUUACCAAGGCUUUGACGGGUAGCCGGCCUGAGAGGGUGACCGGCCACAUUGGGACUGAGAUACGGCCCAGACUCCUACGGGAGGCAGCAGUGGGGAAUAUUGCACAAUGGGCGGAAGCCUGAUGCAGCAACGCCGCGUGCGGGAUGACGGCCUUCGGGUUGUAAACCGCUUUCGCCUGUGACGAAGCGUGAGUGACGGUAAUGGGUAAAGAAGCACCGGCUAACUACGUG
rnacentral:rRNA from 1 species